rnacentral:lncRNA from 1 species
GGCGGAGGAAGCCGUGUCUGUUGUCUCUUUAAUUUCUAGUUCUGGUGGAUAUAUUAAUGGAACCCAAUCAGAAAAGUUCGGAUUGUUAAUGGAAAGAACAUCAUCAAUAUAUCUGAAAGUGAAAUUAAAUAACCUGGCUUCUUUGAUCUUCUUGUUUUUGACAAGUGUCUGAAGGAACUCCGAUUCAUAUGAAAACAAGAAGAGGUCAGCAAGGAGAGGCGCGCAGUUCGUUCCCAUAGGAAUGCCGACAAUUUGUUGAAAAAGUCUACCUCCAAACUCAACAAAUAUGUUGUCGAUAAGAAACUCCAGCAUACUGACCACUUGUUCUUUUG